AGGAAGUUCAUAUAUUGUACUUCAAUAACUGGUUCAAUUUCUUGGAUCGGUUGACCACACGCAACCUCAAGGUUUGAUUGAUUUUUAGAACAUGCAAUAUUGCCACAGAAUGCAGCUUGAUCUUAGGUUCUCAGUAUUGCUUUUACCUUUGCAGCUUCACUCCAUUUGUAUUUUUAUUUUGAAGUAAUACGGAUCCUUGACUUCCAGUUUCAUUUUCAGAUUGCAAUUUUUA
rnacentral:misc_RNA from 1 species